ensembl:lncRNA LINC02475 long intergenic non-protein coding RNA 2475
GCAGAAAAACGAGGGGUUGCAACUGCCACGCAGCAACUGCCACACAGAAGAAGGAGGGACUGCAACUGCCAUGCAGCAACUGCCACACAGAAAAAGGAGGGGUUGCAACUGCCACGCAGAAAAAGGAGGGGUUGCAACUGCCACGCAGCAACUGCCACGCAGAAAAAGGAGGGGUUGAAAAGGGAGUAGCUUCUGAUAUUCAGAAGCUAUUGGAAGAGAUGCUCAAAGAAGAAAAAAUUACCAUAAUCCAAUAAAGAAGAAGACCUGAGAUCCAGGAAGCAGAUGAUCUGAACUGCAGAGAAAGUUCAGGAAAGUUCCCUCAUUCAUGAUGAUGGGAAAUAACAGUAAAUUCUGUACAGCAGUCUUGGACAACAACCAAUCUAAACUGGCACAGUGCAGAGGCAAUCAACAGAGAACAUAAUAUUGAUAGAAUGCCUGACGCUUUUGAUUGUAUUCACAGGAAACAUAAACAAUUGGAAGACAGUUUAUGAAUGAAUUAGUGAUAAGCAUUUUUUUUCAACUUUUAUUUUAGAUUCAAGGGUACAUGUGCAGGUUUGGUGCCUGGGUAUACUGGGUGAUGCUGAGGUUUGUGUUACAAAUGAUCCCAUCAUCCAGGUACUGAGCAUGGUAUCCAGUAGUUAGUUUUUAACCCUUCUCCUGUCUCUCUCCUGGUGGUCCCCAGUUUCUACUGUUGCCAUCUUUAUGUCC